CUCCUAGAAUACUGUCUUUAAAAGUGCCACAUGCAGGAGAAUGCCAUAAAAAGACUAUUCUCCUCUCUUCCUGCUCCUUUCGGUGUGUGGAGUAGCAGUAUGUAAUUUAUGGAGCUAGAUUCUCACAAGGGGAGAGGUAUAGUGAAAACAUCUGCAAUAUGGAGUUUGAUUCGCUGGGGGAAAGGACAUCCACGGCAAGGGAAGCCAGAUUGGAGAGAAAGGGGUUUGGAGUAACACUCUGCAGUAGAUAACAAGGUGGUGGUGAGUGAAGAAAGGAACAGUGUUUUCUACAGCUCUGUCCUGUGAAUAGCCCUUGAAAAACAGCACCAGAAGGAGAUGCAAAUACACGUUGAUAAAGAGGGUUGCCAACUGAUGGGUCCGAUUCUGUUCUCACUGACGUUGAUGGUAAAACUCCCAUUGACUUCCAUUUAUUAUUUGUUUCUGCACAUGCAUCUUGGAGACUUUUAUCUACCAUGUCGCGAGCCCAACUGAGACAGCUUAGGAAGAGUGGGAGUUCCCAGAGGAGUGGUGUCAUGGCUGGAACGCUGCUGCACUCAGGUAGAGUUGCACAGUGGGAGCAGCUGUGGGAAAUUCUAGGGGGAAAAGGCGAGUGGAGACAAAGCCUAUGAGAGGAGACACCUGAGCUCUAGGAACAACAUUAGAACAAAAUCCCCAUACCACCUUGUGAAAAAAGAAGAAACAAAUGUUUCAGCAUCUUGAUGAUCUUCCACAAGUCACACUGAAUAAAAUGAAGGAAUCUGAAGAGAACGUAAUGGGGAAUGUGCAGGGAACAUGUCUGGCUCUCUAUGUAACU